AUCGGAUCGUUCGUGAAUGUCACGUCACUUUGGUCAGAGUGUCGCUCCAUAUCUGCAACAUCAGUCAACACCUCCGCACGAUAAUUCAGCGCAUCACUGCCAUUGUUGGAGUUCACUGAGAUCAGACUUCUUGGAUUAAGUUAGGAUGAGGUUAUGACGCUAACCCCUGUCUGGAAUUAGAGAGGGGCGUGGCAUUCACUUUACCUCUCUCACACCCACAGUUUGGAUGACUCUUAUUUUGGAAUUCUGUGCCUUCGAUUUUCUUCUGCUCUGAUAAACUCUGCAUAAAGAAGCCACAGAAUGUUACUGUCUACACAAUAUCUUAUGAACUGUGAAAUUGAAAAUUUCAGGAAAAUAGUCCAGGUAGGAAAAGCCUGUCAGGUGCUUCAUCAUGCUAUCAGGAUGGCUCAAUAAAGCUUUGCAGGUCAUACAUCAAAUCUGAGUCAAGCAACCUGUGCAGAAACAAAUAUGACAGGUUUUAGCAUUAACUUGGCUCUUUUAUAUGAAGCCUUAAGCAUAUCAUAUCAAUACAAACUCCAAAGAUCAAAUGUUUUGAGGACUAGAAUAACUAUAUUAAGCUCUUGGGUACACAGUUUUACGAAUGCCAAGGCAAAUGAUUCUGAUGAUUCUGAUUUCUCAGAAUUAUGACAUGGAAUGACUCUUUUAGCAAUAAGUUAAUUAAAAGUUACAUUGUCCCUGAAAUGCACCACACACACAAGAAGUGGAACAUUAAUAAACCACAUAAUUUACAUGACAUUAUGGCUAUUAAGAUUAUAAAAUUAGAGGACUAUUAGGGGACCCCUUGCUUGGUUUUGGGCACUUGAGAAGGGAGAAUAUUAUGAUAAUGGAAAAUAAUAAAAAUAGCAAUGAAAUCAUGAGUCAGUAGAAGUCUAAUGAUUGCAUUAUGUUCUCUUUACACUGUGCCAUCCUACACACAGUAAAGAGCUGUUGGCUACUGGAAGCAAUAGGGUAAACAUGUCAAAAACAACUUAAGACUUGAAACUC